rnacentral:rRNA from 1 species
UGCAAGUCGAACGAGAAGUACGUAGCAAUACGUAUUGUAAAGUGGCGCACGGGUGAGUAACACGUGGGUAAUCUGCCCUUGAGUUUGGGAUAACCCCGCGAAAGCGGGGCUAAUACCGAAUAAGACCACGGGGACCAAAGUCCCUGAGGUAAAAGGUGGCCUCUAUUUAUAAGCUACCACUUGAGGAUGAGCCCGCGGCCCAUUAGCUAGUUGGCGGGGUAACGGCCCACCAAGGCAAUGAUGGGUAGCUGGUCUGAGAGGACGAUCAGCCACACUGGAACUGAGACACGGUCCAGACUCCUACGGGAGGCAGCAGUGGGGAAUAUUGCGCAAUGGGCGAAAGCCUGACGCAGCAACGCCGCGUGGGGGAUGAAGGUUCUCGGAUUGUAAACCCCUUUCGACCGGAACGAAUCUCCUCCUGGUAAAUAAUCAGGGGGAUCGACGGUACCGGGAGAAGAAGCCACGGCUAACUCUGUGCCAGCAGCCGCGGUAAGACAGAGGUGGCGAGCGUUGUUCGGAUUUAUUGGGCGUAAAGCGUACGCAGGCGGUUUGGUAAGUCAGAGGUGAAAGCUCGCAGCUUAACUGCGACACUGCCUUUGAUACUGCCUUUCUUGAGUAGAGUAGGGGGAAGCGGAAUUCCGAGUGUAGAGGUGA